UGACUGUACUUGUAGGGAAAUAAAAUGUUUAUGACUGGAGGGUGGAUUGAUUUGGACUCUCAUAAUCUGCUGUUUCUGUGUGUGAUAUGAGAAGGAUAAAGAGCUGACCUCUGAUCUGUGCAGGUUCACACUGGUUUGUGCUUCGAGCUGUUUGGUUCCUCAGAGCUGAAGAAGGACGACGGUGGAGCUCAGGAGAGGAGCAGAAAGCUGUUGGACUGCAACAAGUAGAGUGGCUGCAGGUUUUCACCAACAUGGAAAGGAUCCAUCAGAACCCAGAACCAGAACCAGAACUCAGUCUUGUCUCCAUGGAGGAUGCUCCCUCAAAGGGCGCCGCCAUGUUCUUUGAAAGACAACAACGUUCUGCUA